rnacentral:rRNA from 1 species
AUUGAACGCUGGCGGCAGGCCUAACACAUGCAAGUCGAACGGUAACAGGAAGCAGCUUGCUGCUUUGCUGACGAGUGGCGGACGGGUGAGUAAUGUCUGUGAAACUGCCCGAUGGAGGGGGAUAACUACUGGAAACGGUAGCUAAUACCGCAUAACGUCGCAAGACCAAAGAGGGGGACCUUAGGGCCUCUUGCCAUCGGAUGUGCCCAGAUUGGAUUAGCUAGUAGGUGGGGUAACGGCUCACCUAGGCGACGAUCCCUAGCUGGUCUGAGAGGAUGACCAGCCACACUGGAACUGAGACACGGUCCAGACUCCUACGGGAGGCAGCAGUGGGGAAUAUUGCACAAUGGGCGCAAGCCUGAUGCAGCCAUGCCGCGUGUAUGAAGAAGGCCUUCGGGUUGUAAAGUACUUUCAGCGGGGAGGAAGGGAGUAAAGUUAAUACCUUCACUCAUUGACGUUACCCGAAGAAGAAGCACCGGCUAACUACGUG